rnacentral:sRNA from 1 species
AAGCACACAACCUUCCCUGCAUGCAUGGUUGUUUACAUCUCAGGGCAUGUCCUAGGGAGGUCUCUGAGUCACAUAGGAGUGAGGACUUGGUGGGAGGAAGCUGGGGCAUGAUGUAAUAUGCCUUUUGUUUCCAGAGAGACAGAGGUGGUAGUUUGGCUGGGCAGGGAGCCUUGCUUUACCCCAUUGCUUGUGUUAACUCACACCUUCUUGUUUCCUCUCCUGUCCUUUCCCCCCAGCCUUUGGCUAUGGGCUGCUUUGUCUAGGAAUGGCCUAUAUUUCCUCCCAGAUGGGACCUGUGCUGCAGGCAGCAAUCAGCAUCUUUGGCAUGGUUGGGGGACCGCUGCUGGGACUCUUCUGCCUUGGAAUGUUCUUUCCAUGUGCUAACCCUCCUGGUGCUGUUGUGGGCCUGUUGGCUGGGCUCGUCAUGGCCUUCUGGAUUGGCAUUGGGAGCAUCGUGACCAGCAUGGGCUCCAGCAUGCCACCCUCUCCCUCUAAUGGGUCCAGCUUCUCCCUGCCCACCAAUCUAACCGUUGCCACUGUGACCACACUGAUGCCCUUGACUACCUUCUCCAAGCCCACAGGGCUGCGGCGGUUCUAUUCCUUGUCUUACUUGUG